rnacentral:antisense_RNA from 1 species
CGGGUGAAAGGCCAAUGAGUGGUGGGAAGGAAAGGGAAUGAAGCUUCCAGAAGGCUAGGGGAUAAGAAUGCAGCAGUGAACAUGGUUCCUGCAGUCAUGAAGCAAAUGUAUCCACUGUGAUACAAAAGAGACUGUAAAAAACAAACCCAAAUGGACAACAGACCCCAACUCCAGUUUAAAAACACCACCACUCAACAGCCUGUUUUCUGAGCCUACGACCACAUAUAUGCUGCAGAACUCUUUCAGGGUGUAUCUGAAACUACUUCUCUUAAAGGCAAGCUGUAACUGGCGCCAGAAAAGACAGAAGCUGAUUGAGGUCCCAGCUUGGUAACAGUUUGAAGAGUUGCAGGACUGGCUGGAUGAGUACUGGCUGCAGCAAGUCAUGCUGCCAGGAUUCUUUAUGGCUGUUUCUGCUUCCACUACAGCUGAGUCAGAAAGGUCGCUGCCCAGUGGUGGCAGUAGAUGCAGUGGACCUGGCAAGCAAAUGUUUCCGCUAUUAGCUCUCAGCAACAGAGACUCAUUUAUGGUCACCUUGGAAAUCUGGGCUUAUCGAUCUACAGCCCAAGUCUGCUGAGAAGCUGGAGCUUACUAAAGGGGAAACCUGAGAGCUGUUCAAGCCCCAAACAUUUUCCACUUCUGCGUCACCUCUGCUGUCUGUUAGCAGAGUGGAGGAGAAAAUACACCAGCACAAACAACGUGAAAAAAUACUCUAUUCAUUAAAAGCUGUAACUUCCAGACUGGACUUGAGAAGCAAUUAAGCAACAGAGGCACCUCAUCUACUAUCUGUAUUC